GCGGCGCUGAGGGACGGGGGGGGGGGGGGUGUGAGUUUUCUGUCGGUUCCGCCGCCGGUACAGCUGGUCACGCCCGCCCGCGGGCUGGGGUCUCCCCAGGCAGCCGGGUCUCCGGCUCAGGGCCGCCCCACCGCUCCCUUCCACCGCCUCCGGGGGAGGCCGGAGCUUCCCGCCCACCGGCAUCGCCCUCACGGCCGACUGAAGCGCUCGGGGCUGAGGCGCAGCCUAGAGAGACUUAAACCUCGGAAAUACUGAAAUAAAGGCUGGUCCUGCCCAGUAGGAUAAGAAGGGCGGCGGCAGUGAGAGAGCAAGGGGGUGAUGGCGCUGGCUUCGGGAGCUUCAUGCUCGCCUGGGGAUAGAAGGAGCUGUGGAGCCGCGGAGGGAGGAGACGAUGGAGCAGACUUGUAAAACUCCAUUUGCAAAAAUCUGCUACGGUAAGGAGUGCUCGCUAGCAUGAGGAGUUCGUCACGUCGGGCGUCGUCUUUGCUAGUGGUAAAAUCCAGGACCUGCCUUCGGCAACCGCCGGCCGCUCCCCGGCGUCUCCCGAAGCCGCCCCGCCGGCCACAGAGGGAGGGAGAGGGGGGGGGACGGGACCCCCCCUGGGCGCCGGCAGCCCCGCGCUGGGCCGCCUAAAGUGCAUGGUUUGCUUUUAUUUUUUGUUUUUCUUUCAUUAAAAAAAUAAGAGGAAUAAAACUUUCUUCUUUCAUCAAGGUACUUCGGGGUGAGCGGUUUGGUCUCUCAGCAGAUAUUGGCCCCGGCGGAGCUCCCAGCUCUCUCCCGUGCCGAUGUUCUGCCGCUCGCCCGGCACGUUUCCACCGGGGCCGGGGGAGCCGCCCGUGCUGGACGCGCUCUCGGCGUUGCGGUGCCAGGAAUCCCCCGGGGCCUCUUGCCCACCGGUGACGCCGCCGUUUCGAGGCCUUGACCCCCAACCACGAUGCCGGAGACGCCGGCACGGGGAGGGGGGGGGGGCUCCGAGCUGCAACCACGGGCGCCGUGCCCCUCACCGGCCGUUCCUCUCCCAUCGGCUCCAUCCCAGAUCCGCUUCGGCGCCUGCAUUCGGGAUCUCACGCCGACGCACCAAACACAGCUUGGCACAGGUGCCGCCGGCCCGACCGGCUCCGCGAGGAAGAGGAGGGCGAUGGCGCCGAGGGCCGAGCCUCACCCUGCCAGGAAAAACCUCUCCGAGCAUCCGCGGAGCUGCCGGGGGAGUUGCCGCGAUGCCGAGACGGUGCAGAUUUCCCACCGGGAAACCUCUCCCGGUGAGCGCGGCAGCGAAUAUCUGCUGAGAGAUUCCUUGUGCAUCAGCUCAAGUACCAUCAUCACUCGCUCACGCUUCUUUUUUUUUUUUUUUUUUUUUUUUUUUUAUACUUUUUUCUUUUUUUUUUUUUAAACUUUUUUCUUUUUUAAAAGAGAAGCCGGCGAGGGGUUUUUGUUUUUUUGUUUUUUUUUUUUUUUUUCUUUGUUUUUUUUUAAUCACCAACAAGAGAAACCGCUGCUCGUCCCGGCACGGCAGCCCCAGGGACCGGUCACCUACCCCCAAGUCGUCCUCCGCUAGCAGCGAGGGACCACGAGGGGAUUCUCGUGCCCGUGCCCCCAAAAUGGCUGGAAACAAGGCAGGAUAAUUCUGAUUUUCUUCCAUAUUUUUCUCUUGGGGAGGAAAAAAAUUGAAGCGGUUUUAACUUUUAACAGAGCCACCGUUAACGAGAGGCUCCCAGCUCUCGGCCCAGACGUUUUGGGUAU